UCAGUUUGAUACUGUCUGAUAACGCAUCUGAACUCUAUUUGAUACCAUAUCUCUUUAGAAAAAUAGUUUGAAAAAUUUUAUUAAACACAUUGCAUUUAAUCUGUCACUUUUAUUUGUUGGAGCAAAUAGUCAUGAUUUUAUUUGCAGGUCAGGAUGUCGAGGAAUUGCUCAACGCGCCACAACCGUCUAACCGCUGGUUCAGGCUGCUGCACAAGGAGUUUACUUAUUGGUUUGGCAGUGUCGAUGCGCUAAGCUUUCUAAUACUGGUACUGUUUUUUCGUAUGAUAGAUGCGAAUGCAAUUUAAUUGAAAUUUAAUAAAAAUUAUUUUUAAGAAAUGUGAGCAAAAUAGAUAAAAUUUGGUGAUUUAAAAUAAAUAAUUAAUUUUUUUAAUGAGUGGUAUUCUUUUGAAAUCCUUUAAACUAAAAAUAAAAAAAUCAAUAAAAAAAUAAAAUAAAAUAAAUCAAUAAAAAAAUUCUUAAAAAGUGUAAAA